rfam:Sporisorium reilianum SRZ2 chromosome 8 complete DNA sequence
GGCCGGUUGGCCCAAUGGUAAGGCGUCUGACUACGAAAAAAGAGUCAUCCUGUUCGCAUAGGAGUACACUAGCAUUUGUUAAUCAGGAGAUUCUGGGUUCGAGCCCCAGGCUGGUCA